UGCCAUCAGCCGCGGUAAUACGGAGGGUGCAAGCGUUAAUCGGAAUUACUGGGCGUAAAGCGCGCGUAGGCGGUUGUCUAAGCUAGAUGUGAAAUCCCGGGGCUCAACCCCGGAACUGCCUCUGAUACUGGUAGUCUUGGGUUCGAGAGAGGUGAGUGGAAUUCCGAGUGUAGAGGUGAAAGUCGUAGAUAUUCGGAGGAACACCAGUGGCGAAGGCGGCUCACUGUCUCGAUACUGACUCUGAGGUGCGAGAGCGUGGGGAGCAAACAGGAUUAGAUA
rnacentral:rRNA from 1 species